CAGCAGCCGCGGGAACACGUAGGGUGCAAGCGUUAAUCGGAAUUACUGGGCGUAAAGCGUGCGCAGGCGGUUUGUUAAGACAGAUGUGAAAUCCCCGGGCUCAACCUGGGAACUGCAUUUGUGACUGGCAAGCUAGAGUGUGGCAGAGGGGGGUGGAAUUCCGCGUGUAGCAGUGAAAUGCGUAGAUAUGCGGAGGAACACCGAUGGCGAAGGCAGCCCCCUGGGCCAACACUGACGCUCAUGCACGAAGGCGUGGGGAGCAAACAGGAUUAGAUACCCCUGUAGUCCCUGUCUCUUAUAC
rnacentral:rRNA from 1 species